rnacentral:rRNA from 1 species
AUGCUGGGGCCUGCCAUGUCUCUGCUGCGUCCGGGCUGUGGCAAGCUCUCCUCACAUGACUUUCAGCGGCUUGCCAGGUUGCUAUCUCCGGAAUCCACAUAUGAUCAUGAAUCCGAGACGGCACUUCCGCCGGUCUCCCUCAAAUCCUACCCCCUUGCGGACCUAGCGGACCUCUAUACAGUGGUCUCCAAGGGUGUCAAUACCCUGUUGAAUAGAUAUCAGCAGAUGCCAAAUGGGGAUCCCAGCUACGAGCUUCAUACGAUUUGUGGUGUGAAUGACCGGGUCGGCGGUCCUGCUCAAUGGCCUCCUCAUGAGUGUGGUCGCUGUCACGUCAACUUCUUGGCUACUCCCAAAAGCCCCAGUGGUGGAGCUGGAGACCCGACUUUGUUUUUUGCUGAAAUUCACAGCGAUGGCACAUACGACUCCUUCUGUUGCCCUGUGGCUCUGCCUCUGCCAUGUGCUGCACAAAUUCGGUGCGUUUACUGCGAAGCCAUGGGGACUAGAAUUGUGCAUCCAGUCACGAUAGACUUCCGUGGCCGUGAUUCGGAGUUUGAGAUGCUGGCCCGCCAAAAAGACCCCUGUCAGCGCGAGGAAGCAACCUUGAGAAUCAUCAACCAUAGACGUCUCAUGGCGGAGAAUGUUCAUUGCAAGGAGAAAGAAGAUAUCCUCUACGAUGGGGUGGAUGGGCACAAGAAUAAGUUUGAUAAUGUGAGUUCCCUGAGUGUGGAAGAAGCUAUGUUAUUGGCACCACUUUGUCGCUAUCUGUAA